GGGGCUGACUUGGAUUUCGACAGAUUUCUUGUCGCACAGAUAGCAUGCCAAGCACUGCUUGUAAAACAGCAACAAAAAUAACUGUAAACAACGCAGAUUACGCUCCAGCUUACGCUAAAGCUGCGUGAGUUAAUCUCCUUUUGGAGCUGGACUGAUUAGAAUUUCUAGCGUUUUAAUCACUCCAUAACCUUAAGCUAGACGCUUUUAAAAGGUGGUUCGCCUUUUAAACUAAGAAACAAGAACUCUUGAAACUACCUCAAGGUUUUAGAAAGUUGGACCAGAGCUAGUUUUAAGGCUAAAAACUAACCAAUUUUCUAAGCAUUGUAGAAGUUUGUGUUUAGGGCAAGAUUUUUGGACUGGGGUUCGAUUCCCCACAGCUCCACCA
rnacentral:tmRNA from 1 species